UACAUCUGAGUAUGAAUUAGUCUUAUCCAAUAAGUUAGGAAUACCUCCGAUUUUAUCAAGAAGAUUAUUUAUUUUUUGGUAGGAUAAGAAGAUUAAAUUUAAUAUCAACGGAAAUUUCGUAUAGUGAGAAAAUUCACAGGACGUGUCUGUUUCUCCAGUAUUUGGCACGGGAAUUUCAUUACCAGUCCACCGCCUCUAUCCCCCGCCCCAACAGGCCUUUAUAGGACCGAGCUCUAGCCCUCAGCCGCCUGCCAAUCAUCAUAUCUUCCCACUCUCGCGCUCCGCCGUCUCAUCCGACAUCCGCUGCAGAUUGAUUUGAUAAGAGAUGCUGAUCACCAUCGAUACCAUUUUCAAGAGAACAACCCUAGAAGUGGAGCCGAGCGACACGGUCGAAAGCCUGAGGGAGAAGAUCUGGGAAUUGGAGGGAAUCCGGCCAUCCCAGCUACGCCUCAUCUACGGAUGGAAGCAACUCGAGGGUGGCCAGACACUUGCCAGCUACCACAUCUGGGAAUAUUCGUCCAUCAAGGGCGUCAUCCGCCUCCGUGGCGGGGUCAAGUAGCGGGAAAUGGAUCAGGAAAAUAUAGAAGAAGAAAGCGAAGCUCUCGUCCUCUGUCAGCAUUCGAAACGCUAACGGUUCAGGUCAAAUGUAUUUGCCCAAUAAUAAGGAAGAGGGAAGAAGGGCGUUCUCAUCUAUCCUUUACAAUCCAUUGGAGGCAAAGGGCCAAGAGAUCUCCAACUUUACACCCAUACAUGGGCCAUUUGAAGUGAGUUGUUUGAGAUGCAUUAGCAGCAGUCAUCCUGUUAUGUGAAAGCCGUGUCCCAGAAGUACGAAUUAAUUAAAGGCCGUUGGCUCGGUAUUAUAUUACUAUAGGGUACUACCAGUGACAAAAUGUGUGUGUUAGUUUCAAUGGCAUAGCCUGCAAUGGCGAGUUCGCGUCAUGACACACUACCUGUUUCAUCUCCCUCACUCUUGUAGCCCAAGAAAAGCCAGCCG